CUGUUGGAGAAAAGUUCUGGGUAACACAACGCAAUCAUUUUUUCUCCCGGAAGAUGGAGUCAUAGAUAAGCGCGUUGAAGAAAUUGUUGCUUACUGAUGAUGUCAUUUGCAGAUAAGAAUGAAGAGUUCAUACAGUCACUGUAGGAUGGCUGUAUUGGAGACUACGUUAGGAGACGCUGUUAUUGAUUUAUGUAGAGAGGAAACCCCGAGGGGUAAGAACAUUUCUAAUUAAUUAUAUGGAUUGCCAUCGUAAACUACAACUAACCCAUUAAAGUUAUACAGUGCUAUAAUAAUGCCACAAUAAACCUCCCAGAAAUAUGCUGCUUACCUAUUGUAUUAUGAUUUAUUUCUUAGCAGACGCCCUUAUCCAGGGCGACUUACAAUUGUUACAAGAUAUCACAUUAUUUUUUACAUACAUUUACAUUAUUUUUACAUACAGUUACCCAUUUAUACAGUUGGGUUUUUACUGUAGCAAUCUAGGUAAAGUUGUCUAGGUGUUGGAGAUGGAUGAUUUAGUGGUUGAAUCUUGAAUGUACCUAAGCUAAUGAGGGAUAUGUGAAACGUGGUAAAGUACUGUUUUGUACAUGAUUGUAUACAAAUCCUCGCGUUUGCAUUGAUCUCUGAUUGAUAUUUAGUUUUCUGUUUGUUUUUGCAGCUUCCUUGAAUUUUCUUAAGUUGUGUAAAAUUACAUUUUACAACUACUGCUUCAUUGACAAUGAUCAGGUAACACUAUGUAACACAAUUUUUGUUCCUGGGUAGUAAGUGUUAUUUCCUAAUUGCUUAUGCCUCAAAAGUAUAGAAAAUGGCUAUUAUUCCCCACAAACUUUGCUUUUGUGACCAGGACAGUGAUAUUUUUAAAUUUACCUAUUUCCAAUGAGAAAAUGGGCGAAUUUGUGUCUUUUCGUUCACAUAAAGUCAGAAAAAAACAACAUAUGAAUCCAAAUUAACAUGUAUUUAUACUAAAGUAAUACAAAAAUGACUACAAAAGAUUUAGAAGUGAGUAGUUUUUCGAGAUUUACGAUUAUACUGUAAAUCACUUUCAUGAAUCGGCCCCCAAAUGUAGUCUCCCAUCAUGUUCUCGUUAUACUGUCCUUGGUAGAGGCGUUCAAAGUCCAGUAUAUCCUGGUGGAAGCGCUCACCUUGCUCCUCCGAGUACGCUCCCAUGUUCUCCUUGAAUUUAUCAAGAUGAGCAUCAAGGAUAUGGACUUUGAGGGACAUCCUACAGCCCACUGUGCCGUAGUUCUACACCAGAGUCUCAACCAGCUCCACAUAGUUUUCGGCCUUGUGAUUGCCCAGGAAGCCCCGAACCACUGUGACAAAGCUGUUCCAAGCCGCUUUCUCCUUACUAGUGAGCUUCUUGGGGAAUUCAUUGCACUCCAGGAAAUUCUUUAUCUGUGGUCCGACGAAGACACCGGCUUUGACCUAGUAGUACUAUCAGAGUCUCCUGGAGAUCUCUAGGGAUCUUUGGAAAAGUCAUAUAGGUUUAUUGAAUCAUUCAGAUAAUGCAAUAUAUACUGCCAUACAUUUUAUGCUAACUUAUUUUGCUAACUUGCUUUGCUCAGUUGUCUAUCUAGAGAGAUUUUAUCAUCCAGACUGGUGACCCCAUGGGCACUGUCUGGGGAGGUGAAUCUGUUUUCAGGUAGGUGAAUCUUGUUGAGAAGCAAAGUUCUUGCAAAAGGACACAGAACAAUAUGUAUGUUUCAUAAUACAACUACAGACAAUAUAAUUGCAAACAUCCAAGUUGUACAGCUUCCAAGUUCAAGCAUCUUAUGUUUGUGAGAGGAUUUCUGUAAAAUAAUGACUGAGUGGCAGCGCCACGCUUUGAAUAGCUGUUGGAAUUCCAGGGGCCAAAAGGUCAGCAAUCAAAAAAUCAUCAGCUCUUUUAAUAAUCAAUUUGAGCCUGCCCUGCUGAAUAAUGUUUUUUUUUUGGUUUUGUUUUGAUUUUUUUUUUUUUUUUAAAGAGCAAUAUUUUUACUGGUGUUCAUAAAUGUUUCCUGCAUUAGACUGCAUGGUGAUCAAGCUAGGUUUUUUGAAGCAGAGAAAAUGCCCAGGAUAAAGCAUAAGAAAAAGGGGACAGUGUACAUGGUGAAUAAUGCCCACAACCAGCAUGGCUCUCAGGUAAAAUGAAAUGUUAGUAAAACUGAGGAAACUACAUUGUCUAGUAGACAAAUGUUUGUACAAGUGCCUUUCAGUGUCAGUUUUUCUAUGGAAAUGCUGUUUACCGCUAUUUUUUUCACAAAAUAAAGAUUGACGCACUUUCUCAAACAAAGUCCAGAAAUGUAUUUAAUCGUUUCGAUUUUAGAAAGCAAACCAAUGACGUUUUGACUGCUAGGUUUUCAUCAGAUACCGCUAUGUUUAAUAUUAUUUGAUGAAUUUUUACCCUGGUUUUUAUAACCAUUUUGAAAGAUCCAAAUUGAUUGUCGCCUCACUUCUGCAACCCACUAACAUAUCAGCAGUGUCGGUGCACUUGUUGGGCGCCUGACCAGUAGGGAAUGCCAGUGUGUGAUAUCCCCAGCUCACACUGACCGACAGCCCAAUGGCCACUGAAACAAUCACCGUAGGUCCCCUGCCAAGAUCAGCAACUUGGCACAAGACUGUUGUAGUCUAGAACAGUUUAAUAAAUAUCAAACUAUGUUAUCCACCAACACAACUUGGUUUAUUUAAACUAAACAGAUUUUGUUGCAGAAGAUCCUUUUAGUUUAUUAUUUUAGUUUUCUUCAGAUUAAUUUCUAUAUUUUUUCUUUCCUAAUUAGUUCCUUAUUACUACAGGGGAAACCCUGGAUUAUCUUGAUGGGAUUCACAGUGUUUGGGGAGGUAACUGAAGGCAUGGAUGUCCUGAUGAAGAUCAAUGAGGCUUUUGUGGACAUGGAUUUCCUGCCUUUCCAGGAUAUCAGAAUAAACCACACCGUCAUACUGGACGAUCCCUUGGACGAUCCACAUGGCCUGCCAAUACCUGAUCGCUCUCCUGAACCAACAAAGGAACAGCUAGAUUUGUGAAAUCAUUCAAGACUGGAAAACCAGAGUCUCUGUGCUACGCUUUCAUUGAAUUUGAAAAGGAAGAAGACACUGAAAAGGUUUACUUCAAGAUGGACAAUGUGCUCAUCGAUGAUUGGAGAAUACAUGGGGAUUUUAGUCUGUUUCGAAGAUUAAAUGGAAAGGGAAAGAUAGGGAAUUAACUGUAUUAUUUGAUUUUAAUUAUUGUGCUUGAUUUGUUAAAACUGUUCACAUAAAGUCAAUUCAGUCUUGUUUCUGUGGACAAUCCCAGAGAUAGCAACACAUUACCAUACAUAAUUGUGUCACUGGAUCUUACUUCUUAACUGGGCACAAACAAGCAGUGUUGUCUUACACAAACUGAUUAGAGUGAACAGUGAAUUGACAAUCCUCAUACUUCUGUGAUUGAAGCACAUAGUUUUAGUGUACAGUAGGCUAAAAGUCCAUCAGUUCCUGAUUAAUAAAUAGAAACAGUUACUAUAAAAAAAUCAACAAUUUAAGUUUUUUUUGUAUUGCCUUUGUAGAAAACAAAAUGAAUGUAGGUCAGGCAGGGUGGUUCAAAUCGGGUCACCCGGACGCCAAAUGCGACCUUCAAUUUUAAUAUGGCCAGUCGAUUUGACUGUUAAGUCGCCACGUUGGCGACUAAGCAUUUACAGUAUAUACAACACAAGUUUGGUUCUUUAAUAAAGGCCCUGUCCAUACGACAUAACCAGUCUCAAGAACCGUACUCAAAAAUAUUUUAAUUAAUCCAGCUCAAAACGUCCACACUGAAAUACUGUUUAUUAUUAUUAUUUAUUUCUUAGCAGACGCCCUUAUCCAGGGCGACUUACAAUUGUUACAAGAUAUCACAUUAUUUUUACAUACAAUUACCCAUUUAUACAGUUGGGUUUUUACUGGAGCAAUCUAGGUAAAGUACCUUGCUCAAGGGUACAGCAGCAGUGUCCCCCGACCCGGGAUUGAACCCACAACCCUCCGGUCAAGAGUCCAGAGCCCUAACCACUACUCCACACUGCUGCCCCAUGACUGUUUCAUGUUAGUCGGGCUUAAUGCGUACACACACUAUUAAAAUAGUUUGGUUAGAGUUCCUAGUAGCACAAUGAACAGUGGUAAUGAAUACGAUAGUAUCGCACCAUCCACUGUAUUUUAUUUUAAAAUAAUGUGUUGUGCUUCAUAUUAAUAGAGAUCCAUAUUGGUAAAAAGAAAUGAGUAUUUUGGGGAAAAAGUAAAUGCGAACACACACACACACACAAGUAGAGCUUGAAGUUUUCUGGUUUUAUUUUUAAUCAGGUGAUGCCAUUAUAAGAAAUUGAGCUGAUUCUGUUUUCAUAAUUAAACUCAGAAAAAAAGCUACAAAACAACCUUUGUUUUUACCUUAAUAUCUUGCCUGAGCCUAACACUGGUCCUCUUAAUUUUAUUUCAAACAGAGCUGACAAAUUAUGUGAAUUGUUCAUCCCCGAACCUACUUUUUAACUCACAUUUCAUUUUUGCAGUCGCCUAAUUUAAUGUUGUGCUUUGGUUAUUUUCCCUACUAGUUUAACAGAGAUGUCCAGACAGAGUACAGAGUAUUUAUUAUUAUUAUUAUUAUUAAUUUCUUAGCAGACGCCCUUAUCCAGGGCGACUUACAAUUGUUACAAGAUAUCACAUUAUACAUUAUUUCACAUACAAUGACCCAUAUAUACAGUUGGGUUUUUACUGGAGCAAUCUAGGUAAAGUACCUUGCUCAAGGGUACAACAGCAGUGUCCCCCACUGGGGAUUGAACCCACAACCCUCCGGUCCAGAGUCCAAAGCCCUAACCACUACUCCACACUGCUGCCCACAUAUAUAUAAUGUGAAUACCAAUAUAUAAACAUCAGCAUGGCAAAUAAUAGUUUUUAUUACCGUGAUCAAAAUAAAACCAUAUACAUUUUUUCUUCAAUAAGAAUGUUUAAAUUGUUUCUGAGUAGUCUCAGCACUUCGCUAUAUAAGUAAAUAAAUAAAUAAACAACCAGAGAGUUGAAAGGUCAUAGCACACAGGCAGGCACCGCUACAGUGUCAAAGAAACGGGGAUCAGAAAGAUCUGAAAAAAAGACUAGAAAACAGAUAAACUUCAUGUUUAUUUACAGUUUGCAGGAAAUAAAAAAGAUGUUCAGCGGUAGUGUGAAGUAUUUUGUUUAGCUUUGGACAAAGUGACUGCAUUGUGUGAAAAAAAGGUUUCAAGAAAUAAAAUGUAAGUAUGAAUGAAUCGUUUUUAAAAGUGCCAGCCCACGGGGUGGUAUUGGGCACUGGAACGUCCAGUAUUGUCCAUGCCGUCCACCCUGGAGGGUCUUACUGCAUUUAGAAAAUUGACAACUGUUAAGAAAAAAAAGACAGAAACAGGUUUUGUGGUUUAAAACUUGAACACAGACAUUUUAUUUAUUUUUGCAAAACAAGAAAAUAAUUGUCCCUUUUUAACUUCAACAAGAAAAAUAGUCUUUAAACAAAACACUGUCAUAUGGGGUUGGUAAAGACAACUAUUUGUUCUAGGCUAUGAAGUUUACAGGACAGUUAAUUGUGCAGUUGCUUUGUGUUGAAAGUGGGGUCGGUGUGUAUGCUGAGCUGUCGGCCGAUCUGUGGACUUGUGAGCUGGCGGUUUAAAGCCGUAUGCAGAGAACAGUAGCCAGCCACGGAGUAGUUUUCUCCUGCAGCUGUUCUGACUUCCGUGUAAAAUUUACGAAGGUGAUUAUUUAAAGUUUCCUCAGUGUCAUGGUGCCCAGCCCACUGUUCAAAUACUGUGACGGCUCACUUGGUGUUUUUUUUGUUUCUUUCCUCUCGCUCAGUUUCUAUCUGGUCUAGCUGCCUGUCACUUAUUACAAUCUUUUACUUACAGCUUGUUCAGAUUUGUUUUUCUUUUGUGGGAGAAUUUGUGAGUUGUUUUCCUGUGGGAUCAUUUCUUCUGGUGGUGGUUUCUUGAGCAUGUGGCACACGGAUAUCUGUCCAAGUGAAAAGGCACUUAUACCGGUACUUUUUAUUUCCCCGUCGUCUAUCGAAAGUUAAUGUAACCCCAUUCCAAGGGUACAUGCCAAUGAGAUACCAGGAAAUUAAAAGCCUGUUUGUUACAAUAGUGCCUUCAACCUCUUGCCCCCCCCAACACACACACACACACACACACACACACACAGCCGGACACUACAAUAUGUUGAGUUGACUAUAUAUGGCAGCAUAAAAAGGUGAUGUGGGGCUAUUUGCUUUAGCAGGGUGCUUAGUGAAAAACAAAUAACAUAUAAAAAACGUACAUAGUUGAAAGUGCCUGAGCUGGCUGCAUAGUACUCGUGCUGUUCUUAGUGUCCACAGUACUUCCUUCUCUACCCUGCUGUUUGUGUUAUUAUUUUAUGUCCUACGUUUUACGGUAUGGUUCGCGUCUUAGUCUGAAAUUUAAAAGUGGCUCAUGCCCAAGAAAAGGCUGGACUCCCCUGGACUAGUCUAAUCCCAGGGAAAAUGGGUAUGAAAGAUAAAGACUGCUCUACUAAACUUAAAUGUGUUCAAUAUAGAAGUAAAAUAAAUAAAGUAGGUUACAAAGGGUUCAAUGAAAAAAAAAUGGAAUCCUAAACCAUGUACUGUACAAAAUGUAGUCUAACGUGAACUUUAAUUUAAUUAGUAUUGGUAAUAGUCAGGGUCGUCUUACAGUGCAAUUGUGUAAAAAGCAAAAAACUGCUUCAUUCAGAAUCACAUCCAAUGAAACACUUGUCAAUGUUUAUUUACUAGUUUACCAAGUUUUAGUUUUAUUCAGAUUCUAUGUUAUAUUAUAGAUAGAGAUGGUAAUAAGCGCUGUAUUGCCCAAAGUACCACUCUCCUCUGGUCAGCAGAAUAGUAGGCGCUGCAGUGUGUUGAUUGGACCAAGUAUAUCUCACUGAGCUUGAAAUACUGCCACGAAGACUCCCUAGCCUAGAUCUCAAUCCAACUCUGCCCUUAUUAUUAUUAUAUCACAUUAUUUUUACAUACAAUUACAUUAUUUUUUUACACAUUAUUUUUACAUACAAUUACACAUUUAUACAGUUGUUUUUUUUUUUUUUACUGGAGCAAUCUAGGUAAAGUGCUGCUGUACCCUUGAGCAAGGUAGUGUCCUUCACCUGGGAUUGAACCCACGACCCUUUAGUCAAGAGUCCAGAGCCCUAACCACUACUCCACACUGCUGCCUUACAUGGACCUUAUGGACCGUCAUAUUCUUUGUCAUCAGGAAAGACAGUAAUUAUUCCUCAUCAGUCUUUUUAUCAGCUGGCUUUAAUUGUGUGAGCUGAGGGUUUGGGACUGUAGACAACUGUUGUUUUUGGGAGUUGUAGUCAGAGUUAAAAAGUAAAGCAAUUCAUUAUCAGUAGUAUUCCCGACCUCUGCUAAGUUGUCUCUUGUGUGUUUCUCAGCACCGCCGAGACAGCCUGGAGAAUCGGUACAGAGACCAGGUGACGAUGGAGAGGAAGGCUGAGAGGCACUGCAGUCGUAGCAGGAGUCGCUCCCAGGAUAAUGAUAACCACAAGCACAACAAGUCAAAGGGGGACGGAGACCGUGAGAGGAGAGACAGGAGCCAGAGUCCAAGGAAAUGCAAAGACAAGGAACGCAGCCAGCACAGAUAAGAAGAAUCCCCACUCUCAGAGAUUCAUCCAGGAACCCUUGAGCCCUGUUGGUUUUUUUUAAAUAAAUUAUUUUCAUCGUGUUGAUGGUUUGUGCAGCAAUGGACACUGAAGGCUGCCUUGUAGGGACCAGGGACCAUCUUCUUAGACAAGAUCUGUUUGGUCUCCAUGUCCAUACAAUCCUUGACCACCUCUUUUUUUUUUACUUCCUCCUCUUAGUGCUAGUUGUGCAGAUGUGCUUUACAUGGAGGGCUAAGUUAAGACCGAAGUAUGUUUUUAACCAGCAUCAGUGAAGAACUGUACCUAGUCGGAGUAACUCCCUCUCGAUACAUUCUUAUCUGAUAUGCACCUGAGAUUUUUAAUAAAGCUACUGAAUUCUG